UCGCAGUGACUCGGACGCUCCGACUGUCUAAUAACAACAUAGGUGACCGCAAAUCCGCAAGGACUCGUACGGUCACUGAAUCCUGCCCAGUGCGGGUAUCUGAACACCUAGUACAAUAGGACGAAGGACCCGUUAACGGCGGGGGUAACUAUGACCCUCUUAAGGUAACAAUCGUUGCCUUAGUAAAAUUCGGCUAUAUGCUGGAACAUCUGGUCAGUAUCCCAUGCUAUCAGUAGAACCAAGUGAAAGCGGUUCUACGGUGACAAUGCAAUGGGUGCAGACAACCAGCAGGAAAGUCUAGAUCCGGAUUGGGUAACCGGUUUCGUGGAUGGAGAAGGUUGCUUCUACGUCGGAAUCAAUCGGAUUGAAAAAAUGAGCUUGGGAUGGCAAGUCCUUCCCGAGUUCAGAGUGACACAGCACGAACGCGACGUGGUGUUGCUCGAACGAAUCCGAGACUUCUUCGGCUUUGGAAGCGUUCGACCGAAUCAUGGAGAUCGGAUGGAUUACCGUGUUCGUGGGCUGGAUAACCUCAACGAGGUUGUCGAGUUCUUCGAACGUCAUCCGCUCCAAUCGAAGAAGCGGUCAGACUUCGAAACCUUUGCGGAAAUCAUCGAGAUGAUGAACGACGAUCUCCAUCUUACGAAAUCCGGGUUAGACCGAAUCGCUCGCCUCGCGUCAUCGAUGAACGAGGGAGUAACCCGAUCUUAUCUAGAAUCCUCAGAGACCGUACGCCGAACACCCGAUUCCGGGUGAAGAGACGGUCCGACCUUCACGGCGACGUGGAGAGGUUGGUUCGCGCCAGCCCGCCCCAUCGCGGGGUCAGUACCCACCGCGGGGAAAGUAACAGCGUGAGCGUAGUACCUUGCCGCUUCAGUAGCGGCUUGCAUGAAUGGAUUAACGAGAGCGUCACUGUCCCAACGUUGGGCCCGGUGAACCGUACGUUCCAGUGCGGAGUCUGGAGACCCCCAGGGGGAAGCGAAGACCCUAUGGAGCUUCACUGCAGGCUGUCGCUGAGACGUGGUCGCUGAUGUGCAGAGUAGGUAGAAGUCGUGACCGAGGCCCGUGCGCUAGCACGGCGCCCAGACACCCAUGAAACACUACCCGUCAGUGACUGCGACUCUCACUCCGGGAGGAGAACACCGGUAGCCGGGCAGUUUGACUGGGGCGGUACGCGCUUGAAAAGAUAUCGAGCGCGCCCCAAGGCCAUCUCAGCCGAGUCGGGAACUCGGCGGAGAGCGCAAGAGCAAAAGAUGGCUUGACAGUGUUCUUCCCAACGAGGAACGCUGACGCGAAAGCGUGGUCUAGCGAACUUAUGCGCCCGCUUGAUGCGGGCCAUAAAUGACAGAAAAGCUACCCUAGGGAUAACAGAGUCGUCACCCGCAAGAGCACAUAUCGACCGGGUGGCUUGCUACCUCGAUGUCGGUUCCCUCCAUCCUGCCCGUGCAGAAGCGGGCAAGGGUGAGGUUGUUCGCCUAUUAAAGGAGGUCGUGAGCUGGGUUUAGACCGUCGUGAGACAGGUCGGCUGCUAUCUACUGGGGGUGUUUGGUGCCUGACGGGAACGACCGUAUAGUACGAGAGGAACUACGGUUGGUGGCCACUGGUGUACCGGUCGUCCGACAGGGCGCUGCCGGGAAGCUACGCCACACGGGGUAACGGCUGAACGCAUCUAAGCCGGAAACCCACCUGGAAAAGAGGCACCGCUGAGGCCACUCGUAAAAGACGAGGUCGAUAGACUCGGGGUGUACGUACCGAGGCAACGAGGUAUUCAGCCCGCGAGCACUAACAGGCCAAAGCCACCAUU
rnacentral:rRNA from 1 species